AUUGAACGCUGGCGGCAUGCCUUACACAUGCAAGUCGAACGGCAGCACGGGUGCUUGCACCUGGUGGCGAGUGGCGAACGGGUGAGUAAUACAUCGGAACAUGUCCUGUAGUGGGGGAUAGCCCGGCGAAAGCCGGAUUAAUACCGCAUACGAUCUACGGAUGAAAGCGGGGGACCUUCGGGCCUCGCGCUAUAGGGUUGGCCGAUGGCUGAUUAGCUAGUUGGUGGGGUAAAGGCCUACCAAGGCGACGAUCAGUAGCUGGUCUGAGAGGACGAGCAGCCACACUGGGACUGAGACACGGCCCAGACUCCUACGGGAGGCAGCAGUGGGGAAUUUUGGACAAUGGGCGAAAGCCUGAUCCAGCAAUGCCGCGUGUGUGAAGAAGGCCUUCGGGUUGUAAAGCACUUUUGUCCGGAAAGAAAUCCUUGGCCCUAAUACGGUCGGGGGAUGACGGUACCGGAAGAAUAAGCACCGGCUAACUACGUG
rnacentral:rRNA from 1 species